UACGUAGGGGACAAGCGUUGUCCGGAUUUAUUGGGCGUAAAGAGCGUGUAGGCGGCUUUACAGGUCCGUUGUGAAAACUUGAGGCUCAACCUCGAGACGCCGGUGGAAACCGUAAAGCUAGAGUCCGGAAGAGGAGAGUGGAAUUCCUGGUGUAGCGGUGAAAUGCGCAGAUAUCAGGAAGAACACCCGUGGCGAAGGCGGCUCUCUGGGACGGUACUGACGCUGAGACGCGAAAGCGUGGGGAGCAAACAGG
rnacentral:rRNA from 1 species